CACGUAGGGUGCAAGCGUUGUCCGGAAUCAUUGGGCGUAAAGCGCUCGUAGGCGGCUUAGUAAGUCGGGUGUGAAAACCCCAGGCUCAACCUGGGGACGCCACCCGAUACUGCUAUAGCUAGAGUCCAGUAGGGGAGUGUGGAAUUCCCAGUGUAGCGGUGAAAUGUGUUGAUAUUGGAAGGAACGCCUGUGGCGAAAGCGACACACUGGGUCUCAACUGACGCUGAGGCACGAAAGCCAGGGGAGCAAACGGG
rnacentral:rRNA from 1 species